GGCUGCAGCAGCGCCAAAUAUUCACAAGAUAUGGAAUAUGUCAGAACAAGUACUUGGAAUACUUUUUAUAUAGAUUUCCGAAUUCGGUCUAACGAAAUAUUCAAACGAAUAAAACUGACAACAUUCAUUCAAAUGAUUUUACAAAUUGAACACGUCGACUUAGCUUUGUCCAAAAAUGUAACAAAAAAUGAAGAGGUUUCAUCAUCUACUAAUAUCAAUGGGAAUAACUCAAAAUCACAUUCCCGUCCGACAUUAUUGACGUAUUCUCUAUGCUAAUAUAAUAGGCUUAUAUCCGGAUCUGGAGAACUGGAUGAAAAUAUGGAGCCCUAUUUAAAGGAACCUGUUAAAAAAACUGAUCAAUGUCUAACUCCGGAAGAUUCCCUGUCUCCAUAUCUGCUAUUGGAUUUAAGGGAUAAAGACCUGUACAUGAAAGGCCACAUAAAAACUGGUUUUGUGAAUCACAUAAAUAUAGCACUUUCAUAUCCAAUGACAAUGCUCUCUCGAAUGCACAACUACGAGACCAAAGAAAUGCUA